GGUAAUGCCGAGCCAGCAGGGAGGGUAAUACGGAGGGUGCGAGCGUUUAUCGGAAUUACUGGGCGUAAAGCGUGGGCAGGCUGCUUAUUAAGUCAGAUGUGAAAUCCCUAGGCUCAACCUAGGAACUGCAUUUGAAACUAAUAAACUAGAGUAUCGUAGAGGGAGGUAGAAUUCCAGGUGUAGCGGUGAAAUGCGUAGAUAUCUGGAGGAAUACCAGUGGCGAAGGCGACCUCCUGGACGAAAACUGACGCUCAAGCACGAAAGCAUGGGGAGCAAACAGGAUUAGAUACCCGUGUAGUC
rnacentral:rRNA from 1 species